rnacentral:misc_RNA from 1 species
AACGCACAUUGCGCCCUAUAGUAUUCUGUAGGGCAUGCCUGUUCGAGCGUCAUUUAACCCCUCAAGCCCAGCUUGGUAUUGGGUGCUUGUCCCGCCUCUCGCGCGGCGACUCACCUCAAAGUCAUUGGCAGCCCGCAAUUGCCGGCCGUGAGCGCAGCACAGACGCGCUUGUGGACCCCGGCGGUUCGGCUCUCCAAAAGCUUAAUUCAACCACAAUUGACCUCGGAUCAGGUAGGGAUACCCGCUGAACUUAA